rnacentral:rRNA from 1 species
UACGGGGGGGAGCAAGCGUUGUUCGGAUUUACUGGGCGUAAAGGGCGCGUAGGCGGCCAGCGCAAGUCAGUUGUGAAAUCUCCGGGCUUAACUCGGAAAGGUCAACUGAUACUGCGCGGCUAGAGUGCAGAAGGGGCAACUGGAAUUCUCGGUGUAGCGGUGAAAUGCGUAGAUAUCGAGAGGAACACCUGCGGCGAAGGCGGGUUGCUGGGCUGACACUGACGCUGAUGCGCGAAAGCCAGGGGAGGCGAACGGG